rnacentral:tRNA from 2 species
GGGGUUGUAGCUCAGUGGUAGAGCACCUGCCUACCGUGUAUGAGGCCCUGGGUUCUAUCCUCAGCACCACCU